rnacentral:rRNA from 1 species
CAGUCGCCGCGGGAAUACAGAGGGUGCGAGCGUUAAUCGGAUUUACUGGGCGUAAAGCGUGCGUAGGCGGCUUUUUAAGUCGGAUGUGAAAUCCCUGAGCUUAACUUAGGAAUUGCAUUCGAUACUGGGAAGCUAGAGUAUGGGAGAGGAUGGUAGAAUUCCAGGUGUAGCGGUGAAAUGCGUAGAGAUCUGGAGGAAUACCGAUGGCGAAGGCAGCCAUCUGGCCUAAUACUGACGCUGAGGCACGAAAGCAUGGGGAGCAAACAGGAUUAGAUACCCCCGUAGUCCCUGUCUCUUAUCC